rnacentral:rRNA from 1 species
UACGUAGGGUGCGAGCGUUGUCCGGAAUUAUUGGGCGUAAAGGGCUCGUAGGCGGUCUGUUGCGUCGGGAGUGAAAACUCAGGGCUUAACCCUGAGCCUGCUUCCGAUACGGGCAGACUAGAGGUAUGCAGGGGAGAACGGAAUUCCUGGUGUAGCGGUGAAAUGCGCAGAUAUCAGGAGGAACACCGGUGGCGAAGGCGGUUCUCUGGGCAUUACCUGACGCUGAGGAGCGAAAGUGUGGAGAGCGAACAGG